rnacentral:rRNA from 1 species
GACCACCUACGGGAGGCAGCAGUAGGGAAUCUUCCGCAAUGGACGAAAGUCUGACGGAGCAACGCCGCGUGAGUGAUGAAGGCUUUCGGGUCGUAAAACUCUGUUGUUAGGGAAGAACAAGUGCUAGUUGAAUAAGCUGGCACCUUGACGGUACCUAACCAGAAAGCCACGGCUAACUACGUGCCAGCAGCCGCGGUAAUAGGGUC